rnacentral:rRNA from 1 species
UACGUAGGGGGCGAGCGUUGUCCGGAAUUACUGGGCGUAAAGGGAGCGUAGGCGGUCUGAUAAGUUGGAUGUGAAAUACCCGGGCUUAACUUGGGGGGUGCAUCCAAUACUGUUGGACUAGAGUACAGGAGAGGAAAGCGGAAUUCCUAGUGUAGCGGUGAAAUGCAUAGAUAUUAGGAGGAACAUCGGUGGCGAAGGCGGCUUUCUGGACUGCAACUGACGCUGAGGCUCGAAAGCGUGGGGAGCAAACAGGAUUAGAUACCCUGGUAGUCCACGCUGUAAACGAUGAAUACUAGGUGUAGGGGGUAUAAACUCCCUCUGUGCCGCAGCAAACGCAAUAAGUAUUCCGCCUGGGGAGUACGGCCGCAAGGUUGAA